rnacentral:rRNA from 1 species
UACAGAGGUCUCAGGCGUUGUUCGGAUUCAUCGGGCGUAAAGGGUGCGUAGGCGGCGCGGUAAGUCGGGUGUGAAAUCUCGGAGCUUAACUCCGAAACUGCAUUCGAUACUGCCGUGCUUGAGGACUGGAGAGGAGACUGGAAUUUACGGUGUAGCGGUGAAAUGCGUAGAUAUCGUAAGGAAGACCAGUGGCGAAGGCGGGUCUCUGGACAGUUCCUGACGCUGAGGCACGAAGGUCAGGGGAGCAAACGGG